rnacentral:piRNA from 1 species
UGCCUUUAAUAGACACAGGUCUUACACAGGU